UGUAUCAAAGUCCACGAUACAUUAAAUAUUUGUUAACUUAAAAAAAGAAAAUAGCAUUUUACAUUUACUUUCAUUUAGGAAAAAACGCUUUUACUUUAAAACGCGUCUCGAAUUACUACGCUGUAUCAACAUCUUUGCCAAUCGAUUGUUGAAUUAAUCGUUAAACGAAGAUCGUGUCGUGUGUGGCUAAAUUUCGAAAUUUGGAGGAUACUGGCCGAUCGGCAAUCUUUUGCCGCAAAAUGGAGCCCGGUUAAUGACCACGAUCGCCUUUGGGCCGCUCGCUAUCUCAGCUCGAUUUCGCGUUUCGCCGUGCAACGCCAUUAUCAUCGCGUAUCAUCUCUCUCUCCGUGUCGAGAGAGUUCGGUACACGCGAGAAUUAUCGACGCUCGUUGAUGCACACCGCUGUAAAUAACAGUUUUUAUGCGAUUUUUAUGCCCUACCGUUUACCCUCGCGGCCGGAGAUUUAUUUGAAAAAUUUUUAUUCGCAAAAUAAAAGAUGGAAGAAGGGGAAUAAAAAAGGGGAGGAGGAGCCUCAACCCUCUUUCGCUCUUCCCGUUCGAGAUUCUUGGAGAUGGGCGAUGGAGCAUCUGCGUCGAGCCAUUUUCUGCAAGGAAUAAAUUAAAAUCUGGCCUGUUAUCUUUGAAUAGUGAAUUUAUUCGUCAUUUGCGAAAUUUGAAAAUGAAAGAAUAAAUUUGCUGGUCCACGUUGCUUAUGACUUUUCGUUAAUUAUAAUGUGCAACGAAUCUAAAGAAUAUUCCAUUUAAUACGAAUAGAAAAUUUACUUUUUCUUUUAUCAUUCUUAUUCCAAAAUCAAGGAAUUACGUGCUCAAAUAAUCAAUUCUUCGAGUUAUCAUUUUCCCAAUUCAUUCAUCUUGCUUCAAAUUCUUUUGAUUCAUUCGAAACGCGCGUCACCAAUAUUUAAAAUAAUUAUUUUAAGUAAAUUAUCGUUUCAAAGUUUUUAAGUUUCGUCCAAAAUUAACGAAUAAAAUAAUAAAAAAUCGAAUAAAAUUUCGUUUAUUCGAAUAACGGCGAACACAAAGCCCUCGUGCUUGUACUUUUGCCGUAGGUAUACCCCUUGCAGCUGGCUACAUGGUGGAAUGCGUUAGCGAACACGCUGGGUGGGUGAUUUUUGCAGGGCCGUACCGGACCCUUCUCCUCUAUCUUUCCGGUUAAAAUAUUCGCGAUCGAUCGAUGGACGUUUAUAAUAUAUUUUCUGCACGACGAAUGCGUCCACGAUCGAUCGAUAUUUAUUCAACGACAAGCGCAAGAAAUAUAACUCAAUUUCUAAUUGCGAGCGCGGAUCUGGGGAUAUAGGGGAUAUAGGGUUCGGUGACCGUCGCGAUUAAUGUAUUCCAUUCUUGGCCGCGAGAGGCCACUUUCUUGUGACUCCGAUCACGUGAUCGUUCAGGAUUCGAAAAAGUUUUCAGUUCGUGCGCGAAAAGUUUGUUUCUUGGUGAAUUAGUUGGUUUUAACUUGAUAAAGUUUAAAUUUUGCAUUAAAUUGAAUUAUCUUAGUUCGAAUUCGAGAUCGGAAUUAUAUUCGAAAUCCAAGAAUCCAGACAUUGAUUCCCUCUUCUGAUCUUCGUCAUAUUUACAUAGAUGUAACGCUUGUGUACAAGAAUUUCCACUUAACGAAGAUCCAUCAAAGAAUGUACUUAACCAGUUUUCUCAUGUAAUUGAUUUACUUCAGGGAGAGAUGAAGAAGAGUCGUUAAAAUCAAAUGACUUGUCUAUUAAGAAGCAUCUGAACAGACGAGGCAAUAGAUUAUGAGAUACGACACAGUAAUUACCACGAAUUGUCAGCGUUGUCGGAGCUGAAUGUUGGCCCAUUACAAAUGUAAUUGCAUAACUCGUGCAGCGUUGGACUUUGUUGGACGAGUCCGAGUGCUAAGUGGGAUUUCUAAUUAAAAAGAAGAUCGAUAAUGCCUGUUUGAGAGAAACAUUUGUGCCAAAGCAAGGACAAGUUUUUCCUAAUCGAUCCUAAUGUAUC